GUUCAGAGAACCUCUGGGUUGAUGAGCACAUCCAUGUACCAGGAGAGUGGCUUCCCCGAUUCCAUGGGGACAGAAGCUCCUGAACUCAGGACCCUUCUGGACCUUGCCCUAUGAAUCUCUUCAUGUGGCUGUUCAUCUGUUUCCGUUAUUACAUCCUUUGUAGUAAAACUCCUCACAUAUCCCAGACUUGGAGCAGAAGAAGCGGGCAACCUAGAAACAACGAGUGCACACAAAAAAGAGUCCCAACAAAAGACUGCUAUCUCUAGCCAAAGGACCAGAAAGGGAGUAGUCUGAUCACAGUUGAUUGCAAGUUACUGAAACCAUGGAAAGCCAAACCAAAGAUAAGGGAGGACUACUGUACAUGGCUGUGCCACAAUUUACGUAUCCACUGACGUGCUGAAGGAUAUCUCGGUUGUUUCCAAGUUUUGGCAAUUGUGAAUGAACUGCUAUAGACCUCUGUGUGCAGGUUUUCAUGUGGACGUAAGUCUUCAAUUCACUUGGGUAAAUACCAAGCAGUGUAAUGGCUG
rnacentral:lncRNA from 1 species